GAAGCUACCGUCAUCAUGUCUGACCAGGAGGCAAAACCUUCAACUGAGGAUUUGGGAGAUAAGAAGGAAGGUGAAUAUAUUAAACUCAAAGUCAUUGGACAGGAUAGCAGUGAGAUUCACUUCAAAGUGAAAAUGACAACAUAUCUCAAGAAACUCUUAGAAUCAUAUUGUCAAAGACAGGGCGUUCCAAUGAAUUCAAUCAGGUAUCUCCUUUGAGGGUCAGAGAAUUGCUGAUAAUCAUACUCCAAAAGAACUGGGAAUGGAGGAAGAAGAUGUGAUUGAAGUUUAUCAGGAACAAACGGGGGGUCAUUCAACAGUUUAGAUAUUCUUUUUAUUUUUUUUUCUUUUCCCUCAAUCCUUUUUUAUUUUUAAAAAUAGUUCUUUUGUAACAUGGUGUUCAAAACGGAAUUGAAAACUGGAACCCCAUCUCUUUGAAACAUCUGGUAAUUUGAAUUAUAGUGCUCAUUAUUCAUUAUUGUUUGUUUCCAUUGUGCUGAUUUUGGGUGGUCAAGCCUCAGUCCCCUUCAUAUUACUCUCUCCUUUUUAAAAAUUACGUGAGCACAGAGAGGCCACCUUUUUCAGGACAUUGCAUUUUCAGGCUUGUGGUGAUAAAUAAGAUCGACCAACGCAAGUGUUCAUAACGACUUUCCAAUUGGCCCUGAUGUUCUAGCAUGUGAUUGCUUCACUCCUGGACUGUGACUUUCAGUGGGAGAUGGAAGUUUUUCAGAGAACUGAACUGUGGAAAAAUGAUCUUUCCUUAACUUGAAGCUACUUUUAAAAUUUGAGGGUCUGGACCAAAGAAGAGGAAUAUCAGGUUGAAGUCAAGAUGACAGACAAGGUGAGAGUAAUGACUAACUCCAAAGAUGGCUUCACUGAAGAAAAGGCAUUUUAAGAUUUUUUAAAAAUCUUGUCAGAAGAUCCCAGAAAAGUUCUAAUUUUCAUUAGCAAUUAAUAAACCUAUACAUGCAGAAAUGAAUACAACAGAACACUGCUCUUUUUGAUUUUAUUUGUACUUUUUGGCCUGGGAUAUGGGUUUUAAAUGGACAUUGUCUGUACCAGCUUCAUUAAAAUAAUAUUUGUAAAAAUCGUACUAAUGCUUAUUUUAAUUGUACAGAAAUAAAAAAGAAAAAAAUGCCUAAAAAAAAAAAGAAUUAUUUGUUUUAGAGUCAUAUAGAAAAUACAUAGUUAACCAGAAUUUUCAAGUAAGAAAUAAUACCAGUGGGGUAAACUAUCUUUUAAUCAAAUAUUUUAGUUAAUAUAGGAUUAUGACAUCACCAUUUUUCUUUACAUUAUAACAGAUACACGAUUAGAUCAAUACUGUCACAAAACAACUGACAGAGCCGAAAGAUUCCUCAGAAACACCAGUAACAUCAUCUCCCCUACCUUUCCUUAAACAUAUAUAUGAAAGUCUAAUGCAGAUAGCAAUAUAUUUCAGAGGUAGAGAGAGAGUGGAUAGGAAGCAGUGAAGGGGUGAGAGAACAGUUACAAAGU